AAWWAWUGUAUUGCGGGCUGGACCUCUCGGGGUUACAGCCUUGCUGAAUUAUUCACCCUUGUCUUUUGCGUACUUCUUGUUUCCUUGGUGGGUUCGCCCACCACUAGGACAAACAUAAACCUUUUGUAAUUGCAAUCAGCGUCAGUAACAAAUUAAUAAUUACAACUUUCAACAACGGAUCUCUUGGUUCUGGCAUCGAUGAAGAACGCAGCGAAAUGCGAUAAGUAGUGUGAAUUGCAGAAUUCAGUGAAUCAUCGAAUCUUUGAACGCACAUUGCGCCCUUUGGUAUUCCAAAGGGCAUGCCUGUUCGAGCGUCAUUUGUACCCUCAAGCUUUGCUUGGUGUUGGGCGUCUUGUCUCUAGCUUUGCUGGAGACUCGCCUUAAAGUAAUUGGCAGCCGGCCUACUGGUUUCGGAGCGCAGCACAAGUCGCACUCUCUAUCAGCAAAGGUCUAGCAUCCAUUAAGCCUUUUUUUCAACUUUUGACCUCGGAUCAGGUAGGGAUACCCGCUGAACUUAAGCAUAUCARUAAGCGGAGGAAGRAUAWUCCAGU
rnacentral:rRNA from 1 species